UCUUUGUUUCANNGUGACGGUGAGUNUGUCUCUGAACUGCCAUNGGGGGGAUAACUACUGAAACGGUAGCUAAUACCGCAUAACGUCGCAANGACNCAAAGAGGGUACCUUCGGCCUCUUGCCAUCGGAUGCCCAGAUGGGAUUACNNNNNGCNGGGUAACGNNAGCUCCCCAGGCGACCCUCNNGCUGGUNNNAGAGGAUGACCAGCCACACGAACUGAGACGGUCCAGACUCUACGGAGGCAGCAGUGGGGAAUAUUGCACAAUGGGCGCAAGCCUGAUGCAGCCAUGCCGCGUGUAUGAAGAAGGCCUUCGGGUUGUAGGUACUUUCAGCGGGGAGGAAGGAGUAAAGUUAACCUUUGCUCAUUGACGUUACCCGCAGAAGAAGCCGGCUAACUCCGUGCCAGCAGCCGCGGUAAUACGGAGGUGCAGCGUUAAUCGAAUUACUGGGCGUAAAGCGCACGCAGGCGGUUUGUUAAGUCAGAUGUGAAAUCCCGGGCUCCAACCUGGGAACUGCAUCUGAUACUGGCAAGCUUGAGUCUCGUAGAGGGGUAGAAUUCCAGGUGUAGCGGUGAAAUGCGUAGAGAUCUGGAGAAUACCGGUGGCGAAGGCGGCCCGGACGAACUGACGCUCAGGUGCGAAAGGCGUGGGGAGCAAACAGGAUUAGAUACCCUGGUAGUCCACGCCGUAAACGAUGUCGACUUGGAGGUUGUGCCCUUGAGGCGUGGCUUCCGGAGCUAACGCGUUAAGUCGACCGCCUGGGAAGUACGCCGCAAGGUUAAAACUCAAAUGAAUUGACGGCCCGCACAAGCGGUGGAGCAUGUGGUUUAAUUCGAUGCAACGCGAAGAACCUUACCUGGUCUUGACAUCCACGGAAGUUUUCAGAGAUGAGAAUGUGCCUUCGGGAACCGUGAGACAGGUGCUGCAUGGCUGUCGUCAGCUCGUGUUGUGAAAUGUUGGUUAAGUCCGCAACGAGCGCAACCCUUAUCCUUGUUGCCAGCGGUCCGGCCGGGAACUCAAAGGAGACGCCAGUGAUAAACUGGAGGAAGGUGGGGAUGACGUCAAGUCAUCAUGGCCCUUGACCAGGGCUACACACGUGCUACAAUGGCGCAUACAAAGAGAAGCGACCUCGCGAGCAAGCGGACCUCAUAAAGUGCGUCGUCCGGAUUGAGUCUGCAACUCGACUCCAUGAAGUCGGAAUCGCUAGNAAUCGUGGAUCAGAAUGCCACGGUGAAUACGUUCCCGGGCCUAGUACACCGCCCGUCACACCAUGGGAGUGGGUUGCAAAAGAAGUAGGUAGCGCUUCAACCUUCGGAGGGCGCUUACCACUUUGUGAUUCAUGACUGGGGUGAAGUCGUAACAAGGUAACCGUAGGGAACCUGCGGUUG
rnacentral:rRNA from 1 species